rnacentral:lncRNA from 1 species
AACAGUCCAAUUAACAGAAGCUCAAAUUCAAACCUAAGCAUGGCCCAAAUUACAAACCCAUUACAGCCCAAAUCCCCAACCCGAUUGCAGAAAACAAAAAUCAAUAGCAAGGAACCCUAGAAGAUCUAGGCGUCGCAGCCAAGCCUUCGGCGACAAGCCUCCGUACGCUCUGCGCCACAUCACCCCAGCCACGUCCACUGCUCCGUACACCUGCUAACACAAACGAACACAACACCGCAAAAAGAAAAGGACAACAUAUUGUAUUUUUAUUUUGAUUUUGAUUUUAUUUUCCUUUUUCGGCUAUAAAAGAAAAGGAAAAUCCCUUUGUAGUUUUUUGGACCCGGAUUCAAUAAAAAAAAUCAGAAUACCAAUAGGUGAUCUUUCCUGGGUUCUAUUCUUUCUUUUAUUCGCAGUUCUUCUUUUCGUUUUAUAUUCUGUUGAUUGUUUAUUAAAAAAGAAGCAGUAGCAGUAAAGGGAAGGGGAAACGUACCUUGUGGCCGGACCUCCUCUCUCUCCGUCAUCAUCGGAGUUUGGGCGAGGUUCGAAAGCCCCUGAGGACAACCUUCAUCGAAGCGGC